rnacentral:rRNA from 1 species
CCUACGGGAGGCAGCAGUGGGGAAUUUUGGACAAUGGGGGCAACCCUGAUCCAGCAAUGCCGCGUGAGUGAAGAAGGCCCUCGGGUUGUAAAGCUCUUUUGUCAGGGAAGAAACGGUCUACUCUAAUACAGUGGGCUAAUGACGGUACCUGAAGAAUAAGCACCGGCUAACUACGUGCCAGCAGCCGCGGUAAUACGUAGGGUGCAAGCGUUAAUCGGAAUUACUGGGCGUAAAGCGUGCGCAGGCGGUUUUAUAAGACAGAGGUGAAAUCCCCGGGCUCAACCUGGGAACUGCCUUUGUGACUGUAAGGCUAGAGUGUGUCAGAGGGGGGUAGAAUUCCACGUGUAGCAGUGAAAUGCGUAGAUAUGUGGAGGAAUACCGAUGGCGAAGGCAGCCCCCUGGGAUAACACUGACGCUCAUGCACGAAAGCGUGGGGAGCAAACAGGAUUAGAUACCCUGGUAGUCCACGCCCUAAACGAUGUCUACUAGUUGUCGGGACUUAAUUGUCUUGGUAACGCAGCUAACGCGUGAAGUAGACCGCCUGGGGAGUACGGUCGCAAGAUUAAAACUUAAAGGAAUUGACGG